rnacentral:lncRNA from 1 species
GACACCGCCGCCUCGCCGCCGAGGUACCACCUCUGGAUCAUCUCCGCCACGGCCGCGUUCUCCACCGCCACCUUGGCCUCCUCCUUGCCUUCUGUGACGAACGAUAUCUCUGGCGCGGCGGCGGCCGUGGCCGGGAAGUGGAAGGUGACGAUGGAGCCGGGCCUGAAGUACUUGGACUGGAAGAAGUCGGAGACCUUCUCGAGCGCCUCCUCCUCGUCGUCGUCGUAUUUGUCCGCCGCCACAAGGCGGUCCCUGACGGAGCUCUCGAGCUGCACGCCGUACUGCGACCCCUUGAUCUCCUUGAUCACCACCACCCUCAGCACCUUCUCCAC